GAGUUUGCAGCAAUUCAGAUGACUGCCUGUGGUGAUUGACCAAUGAUUCACAACAUUGAUCAUAGUUUAUAUUAUGAAUAGGUUCUGUUGAUGAAAACAUUGUUUUGAUAGAGUGGCACUGACUUUUCCUUAUAUUGUAGUUAAUUUUUAGUGUAUGUGUAUGGAAUGAGAAGACUUCCAAACUAAAAUAUGCCAUAUUUAUCUUUUUAGUUAUUAAAGUUUGAGGAGGAGUGGAGAUUAGAAGUUUUUUCUGACUGUUUUCUGACUUUAGAAUAUGCAUAUUAAUAACCAAAACUAUUGGCUAAGGCAUUUAUAGACUAGCUAAUCUUGCAAUCAUCAGGUGGAUUGAUUUAAUAAUAAGAAUGACUGAUGUAUUAUGCAAUAAUAAUUGAAUAAAAAAUGCAAAAUAUAAGUAAAGAACAAAGGGAUUUGUCAUAUAUUUAGCGGAUCAAAUGUAAACAAAGUGACCAACAAGCAUCUGCUGUCUGGUUGCAGAAUGCAUGGAUUUUGGAUCAUGAUCCAAUAAUUCUACAAACCUAUGAAUAUUUUUGCAAGAAGUUUUGAGGGCAAAAUGAUCCAUCUGAACCAAUUUAGAAAAAUUGUUUGUGACUUGUCUAGUUAGUCUCUAAGUUCACUACUUUGGCAUUACAUCUGAACCUCAUUCAUGCUCUCUGUAGUUUUGCUGGUCCAUUUCAAGCUUGAUAAAUUGUUUUGUCAUAUUUUGGCUUCGUCUAUUG
rnacentral:misc_RNA from 1 species